rnacentral:misc_RNA from 1 species
AACGCACGAGACCUGCGGACCUGCGGAGGGAUCAUUGAUGAGAAGCUGCCCCUCGUGGGUAGACCUCCCACCCUCUGUGAACUUACCUUUGUUGCUUUGGCAGGCCCGUCCUCUGGACCGCCGGCUUCGGCUGGCCCGUGCCUGCCAGAGGAUUCCAAACCCUGUCUGUCAGUGUUGUCUGAGUCUAUAUGAAAUCGUUAAAACUUUCAACAAUGGAUCUCUAGAUCGGAAGAGCACACG